GCCUCUGUAGCUCAGUUGGUUAGAGCGCUGCACCGGAAUCGCAGGCCGUAGGUUCAAUUCCUACCAGAGGAC
rnacentral:tRNA from 1 species